UAGGACGAACGCUGGCGGCGUGCUUAACACAUGCAAGUCGAACGGAAAGGCCCUGCUUUUGUGGGGUGCUCGAGUGGCGAACGGGUGAGUAACACGUGAGUAACCUGCCCUUGACUUUGGGAUAACUUCAGGAAACUGGGGCUAAUACCGGAUAGGAGCUCCUGCUGCAUGGUGGGGGUUGGAAAGUUUCGGCGGUUGGGGAUGGACUCGCGGCUUAUCAGCUUGUUGGUGGGGUAGUGGCUUACCAAGGCUUUGACGGGUAGCCGGCCUGAGAGGGUGACCGGCCACAUUGGGACUGAGAUACGGCCCAGACUCCUACGGGAGGCAGCAGUGGGGAAUAUUGCACAAUGGGCGGAAGCCUGAUGCAGCAACGCCGCGUGCGGGAUGACGGCCUUCGGGUUGUAAACCGCUUUCGCCUGUGACGAAGCGUGAGUGACGGUAAUGGGUAAAGAAGCACCGGCUAACUACGUGCCAGCAGCCGCGGUGAUACGUAGGGUGCGAGCGUUGUCCGGAUUUAUUGGGCGUAAAGGGCUCGUAGGUGGUUGAUCGCGUCGGAAGUGUAAUCUUGGGGCUUAACCCUGAGCGUGCUUUCGAUACGGGUUGACUUGAGGAAGGUAGGGGAGAAUGGAAUUCCUGGUGGAGCGGUGGAAUGCGCAGAUAUCAGGAGGAACACCAGUGGCGAAGGCGGUUCUCUGGGCCUUUCCUGACGCUGAGGAGCGAAAGCGUGGGGAGCGAACAGGCUUAGAUACCCUGGUAGUCCACGCUGUAAACGGUGGGUACUAGGUGUGGGGUCCAUUCCACGGGUUCCGUGCCGUAGCUAACGCUUUAAGUACCCCGCCUGGGGAGUACGGCCGCAAGGCUAAAACUCAAAGGAAUUGACGGGGCCCCGCACAAGCGGCGGAGCAUGCGGAUUAAUUCGAUGCAACGCGUAGAACCUUACCUGGGUUUGACAUGGAUCGGGAGUGCUCAGAGAUGGGUGUGCCUCUUUUGGGGUCGGUUCACAGGUGGUGCAUGGCUGUCGUCAGCUCGUGUCGUGAGAUGUUGGGUUAAGUCCCGCAACGAGCGCAACCCUUGUUCACUGUUGCCAGCACGUUAUGGUGGGGACUCAGUGGAGACCGCCGGGGUCAACUCGGAGGAAGGUGGGGAUGACGUCAAGUCAUCAUGCCCCUUAUGUCCAGGGCUUCACGCAUGCUACAAUGGCUGGUACAGAGAGUGGCGAGCCUGUGAGGGUGAGCGAAUCUCGGAAAGCCGGUCUCAGUUCGGAUUGGGGUCUGCAACUCGACCUCAUGAAGUCGGAGUCGCUAGUAAUCGCAGAUCAGCAACGCUGCGGUGAAUACGUUCCCGGGGCUUGUACACACCGCCCGUCAAGUCAUGAAAGUUGGUAACACCCGAAGCCGGUGGCCUAACCGUUGUGGGGGAGCCGUCGA
rnacentral:rRNA from 1 species